UACUUUUCUCAAGUUAUAUUUUUUGAAAUUCAUGAAGGCCUCGCACUCAUUCAUUGUUAAACAGAUACAGUGUUCUGGAAGAGACUUGUCUGGGGGGUUUUUUCCUACUUUUCUUGCUUAGUUUUUUCUUUUGGAAAAAAUCCUCUCUACAGCCACAUUUAGAAGGCAACGUGCUUUUCAAAAUCACAUCACAUCCUUGUUUUCACAGAAGAAAGCCAGUGAGUCUUGUGAGCUCUAUCUGCUUGGGAAUCGGGGAACAAGUCAUGACUGUCUCAUGAGAAGGAUAGAUAUGAUAACUGUGGCUUUUGGGUGAGAACAUGGUUUCUGCCUGACAUUCUGAAGGACAGGUUGGACUAGUCUUGCCUCAAGCAAAGGCAAACCCAUCCAUGGGAUUGUUUUUGCUCAAGGACCUGAGUGCACUCGAUGGGUAAUGUAGAGGGAUGGGGAUUGAUGAACUCAACCCACAUCCUGAGGGAUGGUCAGUGACUACUGAAAGAACACCUGUGCUUGUGUAUAUCUGUAUAUAUAUCUAUAAAUACAUAGCUUUCGCUAGCCACCACCUGGGACUACUGCUGCUCUUGCUAGCUACCACUGUGCCAGAAUCUGUGCCAGCAUCUCAGCAGAAUAAAUCCUUUUGAUGAAAUAGCCUUCCAGGUUUUGCAUUUCCCCUAUUUCCCAUUGGUUUUAUCUGGCCAAAGAGAGCAUUAAACCACGCAAACUUGUUUGACAAAGUACUUCUUUUGUUCUCUUGGGCCAUGUGGCACAAAGCAUGGGAACAGCAGCCUUUUUCUAACCCUAGGGGUGGGGGGACAGGUAACAUUUUGUUUUUGUUGCUUUUGUGAUUUUUUUUGCCUUUUUUGAUUCCUCUGUAUUAUUGUGUUACUUGAUAUUUUUUACCUCAGUAAAAUUAUGACUUUAACAUUUUUAAUCUCUUGCAGUCUUUGUUUUCCCCUCCACUGAAAUGAGGGGGUGGUUUGAGCAGUCUUAACUUUUCUUCCUGAUGAAUUUUUAAAACAGUACAACUUCUUCACAGUACUUUUUUCCUCCCAUGAAAGAAGUUGAAUAUCCAGCCAGGGGGCAGACAUGAAGUUGAGCCCUACGUUUCAAGAUACCUCUGAGCAGUCCCUGGAAAAAAGACGGAAGUGCAGUCAAAAUCAAAAGCAAACAAUAGAACUAGAUGAUCUUUAAGAUUCCAUCUAACACAGACCAUUUAUUAAUCUAUAUGAAUGGACUUAUUUAUCAAAUAUUGGUUAUUUAUAAGAGUAAUUGGAGAAACAAAGAUUUUUUGCAAAUGAUAGAAAAGCUUGCAGGAUACUUCAUCCAGAACUGGUCAUAUCUGUCGUGCUAAAGACACAGCCCUAAUUCCUUAUAUUUAACAGGACACACUUCAUAGGCUCCUUUCUUAUAAAAAUAGAUAAUAGAAACCAUAAACAUCAGAGGCAAAUUUCUUGUAGUGCCACAGCUUUUCAGACACCCUAGUUUGGCUGUUAGUACUGUCAAUGCUGAAAAUCCCACCAGACUUCAAGAGACAUCAGAUGAUUCAGGACUGAGUACUUUCCAAUUUAAACCUCAGUAUGGAAACACUGUAUAUGUGUGUGUGCGCACAUACAGCUUUUAAAGGCCGUGUUUAUAAAAUCUUAAUUGGUACUUAUCAAUGCAGUAAACAUAUGGCAUGAUGAUGUUUGAGAUAACUUUGUCAAUAAUAAACAAAGUUACUUUAAGGAUUAA